UACGGAAGGCAGCGGUGGGGAAUAUUGCACAAUGGGCGAAAGCCUGAUGCAGCUAUGCCGCGUGUAUGAAGAAGGCCUUAGGGUUGUAAAGUACUUUCAUCGGGGAGGAAAAAACAAAACUAAUAAUUUUAUUUCUUGACGUUACCCGAAAAAGAAGCACCGGCUAACUCCGUGCCAGCAGCCGCGGUAAUACGGAGGGUGCUAGCGUUAAUCAGAAUUACUGGGCGUAAAGAGCACGUAGGUGGUUUUUUUAAAGUCAGAUGUGAAAUCCCUGGGCUUAACCUAGGAACUGCAUUUUGAAACUGAAAUACUAGAGUAUCGUAGAGGGAGGUAGAAUUCUAGGUGUAGCGGUGAAAUGCGUAGAUAUCUGGAGGAAUACCUGUGGCGAAAGCGGCCUCCUAAACGAAUACUGACACUGAGGGUGCGAAAGCGUGGGGAGCAAACGAGGAUUAGAUACC
rnacentral:rRNA from 1 species